AGUCAACAUGCCCAGGGGACGUGGAUAACCUCGGGAAACUGAGGAUAAACCGCGAUAGGUCAUCACUUCUGGAAUGGGUAAUGACUUAAAUCUAUAUGGCCCCUGGAUUGGACUGCGGCCGAUCAGGCUGUCGGUGAGGUAAUGGCCCACCAAACCUGUAACCGGUACGGGCUCUGAGAGGAGGAGCCCGGAGAUGGGCACUGAGACAAGGGCCCAGGCCCUAUGGGGCGCAGCAGGCGCGAAACCUCUGCAAUAGGCGAAAGCUUGACAGGGUUACUCUGAGUGAUUUCCGUUAAGGAGAUCUUUUGGCACCUCUAAAAAUGGUGCAGAAUAAGGGGUGGGCAAGUCUGGUGUCAGCCGCCGCGGUAAUACCAGCACCCCGAGUGGUCGGGACGUUUAUUGGGCCUAAAGCAUCCGUAGCCGGUUCUACAAGUCUUCCGUUAAAUCCACCUGCUUAACAGAUGGGCUGCGGAAGAUACUAUAGAGCUAGGAGGCGGGAGAGGCAAGCGGUACUCGAUGGGUAGGGGUAAAAUCCGUUGAUCCAUUGAAGACCACCAGUGGCGAAGGCGGCUUGCCAGAACGCGCUCGACGGUGAGGGAUGAAAGCUGGGGGAGCAAACCGGAUUAGAUACCCGGGUAGUCCCAGCUGUAAACGAUGCAGACUCGGUGAUGAGUUGGCUUAUUGCUAACUCAGUGCCGCAGGGAAGCCGUUAAGUUUGCCGCCUGGGGAGUACGGUCGCAAGACUGAAACUUAA
rnacentral:rRNA from 1 species